rnacentral:rRNA from 1 species
UACGUAGGGGGCAAGCGUUGUCCGGAUUCAUUGGGCGUAAAGGGCACGCAGGCGGUCGUUCAAGUUUCGAGUGACAGGUGGUGGCUUAACUGCCACAGGCCUCGGAAAACUGGACGACUUGAGACCUCCAGAGGGACGCGGAAUUCCAGGUGGAGCGGUGAAAUGCGUAGAGAUCUGGAAGAACACCAAAGGCGAAGGCAGCGUCCUGGGGAGGUUCUGACGCUCAUGUGCGAAAGCCAGGGGAGCGAACGGG